CACACUGUGAUCAUCACCCUGUGAGGGGUAGCCAGUCGAGGGAGGCAGCCUCCGUACCCACAGCUCCAAGAAAAUACCAUCUACAAUGGCUACCACUGAAGAUGAAAAUUUGCCAGGAGCACAAGUAUUAGCAGUCAUUAACUUCAACUGUCACCAAAGCUACAUGUCUGGAACAACCAAAAGGUGUCGUCUAGUUUCUGGAGCCAAAUAUGCUGAGAAGGAAGAGGAAGAGGUUGACGAUGUCUAGGUAAAGAUUCAGGGCUGCAAAAAUGUACUCUUCUGGGGACAGCGAGUACUUGUGUUUACCGCCGAUCAUCAUCUGGGUGUCAAACACGAUGUACUGAAAG